AUUGAACGCUGGCGGCAGGCUUAACACAUGCAAGUCGAGCGGAGAUGAGGUGCUUGCACCUUAUCUUAGCGGCGGACGGGUGAGUAAUGCUUAGGAAUCUGCCUAUUAGUGGGGGACAACAUUCCGAAAGGAAUGCUAAUACCGCAUACGUCCUACGGGAGAAAGCAGGGGAUCUUCGGACCUUGCGCUAAUAGAUGAGCCUAAGUCGGAUGAGCUAGUUGGUGGGGUAAAGGCCUACCAAGGCGACGAUCUGUAGCGGGUCUGAGAGGAUGAUCCGCCACACUGGGACAGAGAGACGGCGAAGAGUCCUACGGGGGGCAGAAGUGGGGAAUAUUGGACAAUGGGGGGAACCCUGAUCCAGCCAUGCCGCGUGUGUGAAGAAGGCCUUAUGAUUGUAAAGCACUUUAAGCGAGGAGGAGGCUACUGAGACUAAUACUCUUGGAUAGUGGACGUUACUCGCAGAAUAAGCACCGGCUAACUCUGUGCCAGCAGCCGCGGUAAGAC
rnacentral:rRNA from 1 species